rnacentral:pre_miRNA from 1 species
AAAAAGACAAACCCUCAUUUCCAUGUCCAAUGUUUGACCGUCCGUCUUAUUUAAAAAAAUUAUAAAAUAAAUUAAAAAGAUAAGUCACGCAUAAAGUAUUAAUCAUGUUUUAUCAUCUAACAACAAUGAAAAUACUAAUUAUAAAAAAAUUUCAUAUAAGACAGACAGUUAAACAUUGGACACGAAAACCCAGGGUUUGUCUUUUU